GCUUACGGCCACACCUCCCUGAGCACGCCGAUCUCGUCUGAUCUCGAAGCUAAGCAGGGUCGGGCCCGGUUAGUACUUGGAUGGAGACCGCCUGGGAAUACCAGGUGCUGUAAGCC
rnacentral:rRNA from 1 species